ACCGUGACCCCCAUAUUAUGUUAUAUUAAUUUAAAAUUAACAUUGUACAAGAAUAUAUUAAUUUAAAUUUUACAUAUCAAAAUGUGAAUUUUACCUAGUAUCUGGUCCAGUAAGUGUAACUUAACGUUGCUCUGAUAGAACUGAGUCUUUGGCCACCCCAUAAUUAGAUUAAGUAGGCUUAAAAAAAUAAUGGUUACUUGUGUAAUGUUUCUUCAUUAAAGAGGUCUGCAUUACAGAUCCUCACAAUUCCAUCACUUGCUUUCCUUUGUUCACUGCCAAAACCGGAUUUGUGUGUCUUACAAUAAAAACAGUAAGAAAAACCUGCGUGCAUCUAAUAAUUGUAUCUUGUGUUUAGAACAGUCUUCACUGAAAUGGUUAAAGAAAGGGAGGACAAAGGAGAGAAUUGUGAUGUUGAGAAGUAAAAAAAAAAAACUAUGUGACCCUAAUUGUGGUGCACCUGUGUGUUUAUCCUAAGGCUUUCAGACACCUGCCUGGAUUUUCAUGUCAUCAUUGUAAUCGAGUCUCUGACCAAUCCUCACCUGUGAGAAAGGCCAGCAAACAUUGUGGGAAAACUCCUCCCCUUGGCUUGGUGCCAGUCUUUAUCUUUAACCUAGGGCCUAGCCCGACCACUGCAGUUAAUGAAUAAAAAAAAAACAAAAAAAAAAAAACAACAAGCGCCCAGGCUGGUUCCAGGAGUCAAGUACGCAGACCUUUUUUUCACAAAUUUAUGGCAUGCCACUUAUCUCCAGCUCAUCAGAUUUGUUUUUACAAAAUCCUUUUGCCUGACUGUGGGAACGUAUCUUUUUCAGCUCACCUGUUUAACCUGACUAAGCUUUUUUUUUUUUUUUGAAGUUUCGGUAUAAUUAACCCUUUGAUUGAUACUAGGAUAUGUGUACUUACCUUUCAAGAGCUGCAACAAACUUUCAAUAAAGAUCCAGUCCAGCCAGUCAUAGGGCACAUUAGGACUCACCUGUUGUUAAAACAUUGAUUUAUUUUUCAGUCCCGCUUAGCUUACCUUAUGGUUGUGGGUAGCCAGAGCUUUGCAAGUAGGAUAGAGAAAAAUCCUGGAUUGGGUACUAGUACAUUGCAAUGCCUAUUCAUGCCCACUAUCAUAUGGGGGCAAUUUGGAAUCACCAGUCAGCCUGACACACAUGAUAUUGGUAGGUGUGAGGAAAACCAUAGUGUCCAGUGGGAAAAUUCACUCAGACGUAAGAUGGAUAUACAAGCUACACACAGAUUGCACCUGCACUGGCAUUCCUCCAAUUCUGCAGGUUUUAUAGGCUACCCACCAUGCCAUCUUUUUCAUAUAAAUAUGCCUUGAAGGCAUGUAAAGAGGUAAAAAUUUAAAAGCAGCAAUAUGAGAUAAACAAAAUAUUCAGAUUAUUAUGACACAACUCCAGUGUAACUGAAACACACAAAAUGCUUCCUUUCAAACAUAAUUUAACAGCAGGACAAAAUGAUUUUCAGUUUUUGUUUAAAAUAAGACAAAUGCUAAUUGUCUUAAUCCUUAGCUUUGUUUUAAGUUCAUUCCAAAAGAAGGAACCAUAAUAAACAAUAUUUCCUUAUAGUCUUGAUUUCAAACACUUGGAACCUAAAAUGCAUAUCCAAUCCUGAAAUCUUGCAAUCUGACUGUAUAAACAUGAAUUUUAGUUAGUAUAAUGUAAACUGGCAAAUUGUUAUAGGGGAGUAAAUUAUUCAUUGCAUUAUGUGAGAUGAUCAGGCUUGUCAAUCAUGUAAGGCACAAUGAUGAGUCCUGGAGCAGCCAGAUGUUCUGAGGUAUUUUGAUUACUUCCACCUACUCAUUUUUCAGAUCUGCUAUCUUUAAUACAGUGUUAUGAGUGGGGUGGAGCAGCAGCAUUGGGCACAAAGUAGGAACAAGACUAAUGACUGUCAUAGUGUUUAGGGGUAAAUCCACAUGGACAAAGAAAGAAAAUGUGCAGGGUCUUCUCAGAAAGUCACCAAGGCAGCUAAAAUAGCAGCUGAGAGCAGCACAAACCAAAAGGCCAGGGGCCUCCUCAUCAAAACCCAGAUUAAUAAAAAUAAACCCAUACGAUUAAACAUUUAUUUUGGGAAUGAAUCUCCUUUAUCAGAGCUCGACCCUAUUCUAGUAGUAUCAGGUGCACAGUACAAAUGAGCCCCAUAUGGGAUGUCAGUCUAUUGUAGGGCAUACCAGCAGUCACUCAGAAUAUCUCAGUUGCAACAGGCAUAAGGCACAAACUGUCUCUUAAUGAGGUGCCAGUCUAUUGAAAGGUGUAAUACGAUAAAUUUGACUCAGACACGUCAAAAAGAGUUGGGGAAAUCGCCCCGUGUAAUGUCUGUCGAACUUGACGAAAGUUGAAUGAGAACGGAUCAAAAAACCAAAGCAUUUGACAACAUACAGCACUGAGAUGAAGAUAUUUAUACAGAAAAUGGCGACAGGAUGUGAUAUGGCAGGAAAUGACCUGAAACCUGUACGUCGGAAGUGAUGUCAUCAUGGCAUCACCAGAAGUGGCAUCAUCGAGCAGGAGCUGGAAGUGACAUCAUCAUGUCGGGACUGGAAGUGAUGUCAUCUUUUGGAGCCCGAAACAGGACUGAUGUGGAGUGGCCAUUUUGAGAAUCUGAAAGUGGUGGAGGAUCAUAGCUAAAUGAGCCUGUUUCAGCAAAAUUGAAUACAUGGUGUCAACCAACGUAGCACAGGAUACCAGUCAGUCACAGCAUAAUUAAACAUGCAAAUUUAAACAGAAAAACAUUAGAAAUUGUUCCUAACUUCACAAGGAUUUAGAAGAGCUUAUGAGCAGCUCUAACUCACUAGAGGCUGUCAGAAGAUGACUUCCAUGCACGCACAUUCCAGAAAAGGUGAAAUGUUUUGGAAAUGAUAGACAACAUUGAACUCAUAAAAAGCAUCAUCAUCAACAACUUUGUGAAAUACAUGAACCCCUGCUGUGUUUUGACAUUAAAAAUACAGAGUCACUUGCAUUUUCAGGCCUUGAUGCCUGUAUGCCUCCACCCCUCUGCAGCAUUGUAAAGGAAAGGAAGCAAGGCUAAUUGAUGGGUCAACGUGGGGUUUGAGUCAUAGACUGUGAAGAGCACCUCGAGGGGAGAGUAAAAUGCCUGGAAAUGAGGGAAUACAUUUGCCAUACAGUGAGCUCCCAUCACACAGAGAUUUGCAGUCAGCUAAAGACAAAAUGUUCACCAGCCUUCUACAGUCCUGUCUUUGGCUUUUUCUUGCUAUAGAAAAAUACCUUUGUAAAGCGACCGUGGGAAUGUAAAGUCGACAAUAGGUCAAAGAAAAUGGUGACCACGGAAAAGUAGCCUACCUCCGAUGAUAGUAUGACAAGAUGAAUGAUCAGGUGGAUUGUUUUGAUUCACUUACCCACAAGUUACAACAGAGGCUGAAAGUGGACCCCGUUCACGUCUAUGCACUUUUGGGCACAUCAGAGUCUGUUGGCUGAUACUGCUUGCAGCUCUUCAACAGUGAUGCUGCGGAUAGUGUUCGUGAUAUCUUCCUUCAGUUCAUCCAGGCUCUGAGAAGACACCAACUGAGUGCAAUUGACCUCUUCCCUUCCCGUCCAAGAGCUACAAAAGGAAGAUGCUCCUGGAAGGAGGCAUUUCACAUUUAGGAGAUGAGCCAUCUGUGAUAUGGAGCUGCAAACCUCAAGCAUGACUGCUCUCUAGAGCCAUUAAACUACAACUUCGGGCUUCAUUUUGCUUUUCUUUUCUUGUCGAACCAUAGUGCACUUGUUAAUUUGACUGAACUUAUUAUUUUGAGGAUCAUGACUCCGAAACUGGCUUGAGAGCUUUGGUUUCCCAUUGAUUUCAGUAUGACCAUGAGAACAAUUCUACGAACUGAUAAAAAUACCCAUUAUCAAGAUACAUAACACAGGUGGGUUGGGGAGGGGCAUCCUGCACACUUUGGGAUCCCUGCUAUAAAUCAAACAUUACUGAGUGUGAGAAAGUAUUGUAGCAAGUGGAAUAAAGCUUUUUGCAAACGGAGUGGGCUGGAUGCUGUUUGAGAGCAUUUCACAGCAUGAAAGGGGUCCAGAUUCUUGACUGGUAGCUUACGUGUCUAGCAGGGAAGGGAGGUGCCUUUGGAGGCUUUGAGAAAGAGGAGCCCUACAUAACCAUUUCAGUUUGCAGUGGUUCAAGUAAUGAUGAAAUGUGUGGCAGUGGAUAGCAAAAAGUUAUGGAAAUUACUUAUACUGUGACACCGACAGUCUUCAUGUGGCAGGGCAAUACUGCUUUACCCACAAAAUGAGGUACUUCUGCCUUCUGUGCUCUUAACUAACUAGAGCUGUUACUAUGGUCUAUAAAUUAAUGGUGAACUAGUUCACAGUGCACACUUACUUUAACUUGCAAGAUGAAAUGUCCAUUUUAGCUUACAUGUUGUCUAAAUACAUAUGUCUCACAGCAAGUGGCUGUUCUGCACAAUAUUGCUCAGAACUACAAGGUGGCAAGACAUAGCAGAUUGCAUAUCCUUGCAUGUUGUGAUUUGUUCACUUAAGACGUGUAACCUAACUGAUAGCAUUUACAUAGCUAAUUUAUUAUAUAUUUUAUAGUAUUAGAGCAAAAUUUCAAUGUUCAGACAUCACUGGAGCAUUAAUGGGACGCCACCAGAGUGUAUUUUGCACACUGCCUGUCAUUACUGCUUAACAUGCAAUAAAAUAAUUGAUAAAUGAGA